rnacentral:rRNA from 1 species
AUGGCUCCUACCGAGGCUGAGGCUGAUGUAGAGGAGGGAGAAGAGAAGAAGAAGAGGGAAAGGAAAGCAGCCGGAGCUACUUUCACGUGGAUUCAAAAUAACUUUGCGACGUGCCCUCCGGAUGCCAUUCAUGAUGUGAUCCAGACACAUGCUCGUGUGUAUAUGUGGUACGUUGUGUCGAGGACUUUGUUUCCUGACUCCACUGGCAAGAACGCUCCAUGGAUGUGGCUGAAGGCGUUGACCGUCUUCGAUAGCAAAUGGAGCUGGGGUUCAGCGACUCUUGCCUACUUGUACCGACAGGUAGUUGGUCUGUUUUGUGAUCAACUCAUUUCUUCAUUAGCAAUGCAAGCUUGCUGUCCAGUUAACAUUGUUUUUUUUUCAUAUGUAGCUGGACGAUGCGUGUUGCAGGAUCACAGAUAG